rnacentral:rRNA from 1 species
ACUCAAAUGAAUAGACGGGGGCCCGCACAAGCGGCGGAGCGUGUGGUUUAAUUCGAUGCAAAGCGAAGAACCUCACCAGGGUUUGACAUGUAGCCAGUAGAAGCCGGAAACGGUGACGACUCGUCAAGUCGAGAAGCUGCACAGGUGCUGCAUGGUUGUCGUCAGCUCGUGUCGUGAGAUGUUGGGUUAAGUCCCGCAACGAGCGCAACCCCCGUCCCGUGUUGAUUUCUCACGGGAGACAGCCCCCCACAAGGGGGAGGAAGGUGGGGAUGACGUCAAAUCCGCAUGGCCUUUAUACCCUGGGCUACACACACGCUACAAUGGGUAGGACAAAGGGUUGCCAACCCGCAAGGGGGAGCUAAUCCCAUCAAACCUACCCCCAGUUGGGAUUGGAGGCUGAAACCCGCCUCCAUGAACGCGGAGUCGCUAGUAACCGCAGGUCAGCACACUGCGGUGAAUACGUUCCCGGGCCUUGUACACACCGCCCGU